GCGGCAAUUCAACUUGAUAGGAGACCUUUCCCACCUUCUUAGUGAUAGGAAAUGGCCCAUCAUAUCUUCGUACCAACCCCUUGUGCACUUGUCUAUAGGCUUUGAAUUGCUGGGGUGGCAACUUCACCAUGACAAGAUCACCAACUUGAAACUCCAAAGGCCUUCUCUUCUUGUCAGCCCACUUUUUCAUCUUCUUGGAGGCCUUAUCCAAGUAUACCUUAGCAAUAUAAAGCUGUUCUUGCCAACCUUUCGCCCAUUUGUAAGCCGAAGGACUCACCCCCGUAUACCCCCUAGCACCGCAUGCUAUUGCUACUCUGACUACGAGAGCUAGAAGCCUCUAAUAAGGCUGCUGCUUUCAUGCUUUUCACUGACUGGCGUGGCUAUUACAACUACUGCUAGCUGAUCCAUUCAAAGACCGGGAUUCCUGACCUUACUACUAUUAGAAAACUACCCAACACCCCUUGCUGCUCUCGCUGCACCAUCUGUUGUCCGCUGCUUGGCUUGCUCUUUGAAGCAAAAGGACGAAGAAGAGCGGGAAGAGAAGAGCAGCACCCUAAUUCCUAUGUUAUAGCCUUCGUUCCCUGGUCAUAUCUCUUUCUUUUGUGAAAUAAGAACGUAUUUACAUCUACUCCCAACGCCCAUACCCUAGUCUGGUUACUUCACAAGUAAGUUCCUCUACCUCGGGCUAUCUCAGGAAAAAGUUGGGAAUUUAAAUACCUACAUCCGAUCUAAUGGCACCUUUCGCCCUUAGGUUUCCCCUCGGUGAUUCUUUCUUCACUUCCUUGCUUGCAGCUUAUUAUUUAACAUCCUAUUAUGUGUUGGGCUUUCUUCUCAGACGUCUUCUCUUUCCCUUCUUUGCCCAACUAAAAGAGCUAAAGCCGGGAGCAAGUAUUCCUCUUUCGGACUCCUUUUUCGCUCCUCUAUUCGCCUUCUCCGAUCUAACAACUGGCUUCUGAG
rnacentral:misc_RNA from 1 species